UUGCAAGGGGAGCUGGAGCAAGUCCGGCUGAGAAUAAAACCACAUUCGUUUUAGACCCUCAUACCUGAUUCGGAUAAUGCCGGCGUAGGAAGCAUUUU
rnacentral:ncRNA from 1 species